AGUGGGAUAGCUGGAUCAAAUGGUGGGUCCAUUCCCAGUUUUCCAAGGAAUCUACAUACUGUUUUCCAGAGUGGUUGCACCAGUUUGCAUUCACAGCAGCAAU
rnacentral:pre_miRNA from 1 species